CAGUAGUUUACUACAGAAAAUGACUGAGCGGCGAACGGGUGAGUAACGCGUGAGCAAUCUACCUUAGUUACAGGGAUAGCCCGAGGAAACUCGGAUUAAUACCUGAUAUUCUUUAUAUUUCGCAUGAAAUUAAAAGGAAAGGUCAGCCGAACUAAGAUGAGCUCGCGUUCUAUCAGCUAGUUGGUGAGGUAAAAGCUUACCAAGGCUACGACGGAUAGCUGGUCUGAGAGGACGAUCAGCCACACUGGGACUGAGACACGGCCCAGACUCCUACGGGAGGCUGCAGCAGGGAAUAUUGCGCAAUGAGCGAAAGCUUGACGCAGCGACACCGCGUGUGGGAUGACGGAUCUAGGUUUGUAAACCACUUUCAGGAGGGAAGAAAAUGACGG
rnacentral:rRNA from 1 species